AUUGAACGCUGGCGGCAGGCCUAACACAUGCAAGUCGAGCGGAUGAAGGGAGCUUGCUCCUGGAUUCAGCGGCGGACGGGUGAGUAAUGCCUAGGAAUCUGCCUGGUAGUGGGGGAUAACGUCCGGAAACGGGCGCUAAUACCGCAUACGUCCUGCGGGAGCAAGUGGGGGAUCUUCGGACCUCACGCUAUCAGAUGAGCCAGGUCGGAUUAGCUAGUUGGUGGGGUAAAGUCCUACCAAGCCGACGAUCCGUAACUGGUCUGAGAGGAUGAUCAGUCACACUGGAACUGAGACACGGUCCAGACUCCUACGGGAGGCAGCAGUGGGGAAUAGUGGACAAUGGGCGAAAGCCUGAUCCAGCCAUGCCGCGUGUGUGAAGAAGGUCUUCGGAUUGUAAAGCACUUUAAGUUGGGAGGAAGGGCAGUAAGUUAAUACCUUGCUGUUUUGACGUUACCAACAGAAUAAGCACCGGCUAACUUCGUG
rnacentral:rRNA from 1 species